rnacentral:rRNA from 1 species
UACGGAGGGUGCAAGCGUUGCUCGGAAUUACUGGGCGUAAAGGGAGCGUAGGCGGCUUUUUAAGUCGGAUGUGAAAUCCCCGGGCUUAACCUGGGAAUGGCAUCCGAUACUGGGGAGCUAGAGUUUGGGAGAGGGUGAUGGAAUUCCCGGUGUAGCGGUGAAAUGCGUAGAGAUCGGGAGGAACAUCAGUGGCGAAGGCGGUCACCUGGCCUAAAACUGACGCUGAAGCUCGAAAGCGUGGGGAGCAAACAGG